rnacentral:rRNA from 1 species
GACAGAGGUGCCGAGCGUUAGGCGGAAUCACUGGGCUUAAAGCGUGUGUAGGCGGAGUUCUAAGUACCUUGUGAAAUCCCACGGCUCAACCGUGGAACUGCUUGGUAUACUGGUUCUCUUGGGUCAUCUAGGGGCGAGCGGAACAAACGGUGGAGCGGUGAAAUGCGUAGAUAUCGUUUGGAACGCCAAUGGUGAAAACAGCUCGCUGGGGAUGUACCGACGCUGAGACACGAAAGCCAGGGGAGCGAACGGG